UGGGGAAUAUUGCGCAAUGGAGGAAACUCUGACGCAGCCAUGCCGCGUGAGUGAUGAAGGUCUUCGGAUUGUAAAGCUCUUUAGUUGGGGAAGAUAGUGACGGUACCCAAAGAAUAAGUCCCGGCUAACUCCGUGCCAGCAGCCGCGGUAAUACGGAGGGGGCAAACGUUACUCGGAAUUACUGGGCGUAAAGCGACUGUAGGCUGUGUGCCAAGUCGGGUGUGAAAUCCCGGGGCUUAACCCCGGAAUUGCAUUCGAAACUAGCACGCUAGAAUCUUGGAGAGGAUGGUGGAAUAUCCAGUGUAGAGGUGAAAUUCGUAGAUAUUGGAUGGAACACCGGUGGCGAAGGCGACCAUCUGGCCAAGUAUUGACGCUGAGAGUCGAAAGCGUGGGGAGCAAA
rnacentral:rRNA from 1 species